rnacentral:rRNA from 1 species
GAUGAACGCUAGCGGCAGGCCUAACACAUGCAAGUCGAGGGGUAGAAGGAGCUUGCUCCUUUGAGACCGGCGCACGGGUGCGUAACGCGUAUGCAAUCUACCUUGUACAGGGGAAUAGCCCAGAGAAAUUUGGAUUAAUGCCCCAUAGUAUAUAACCUUCGCAUGUUGGUUAUAUUAAAGUUCCAACGGUACAAGAUGAGCAUGCGUCCCAUUAGCUAGUUGGUAAGGUAACGGCUUACCAAGACGAUGAUGGGUAGGGGUCCUGAGAGGGAGAUCCCCCACACUGGUACUGAGACACGGACCAGACUCCUACGGGAGGCAGCAGUGAGGAAUAUUGGUCAAUGGUCGCAAGACUGAACCAGCCAUGCCGCGUGCAGGAAGACGGUCCUAUGGAUUGUAAACUGCUUUUAUACAGGAAGAAACCCUCCCACGUGUGGGAGCUUGACGGUACUGUAGGAAUAAGGAUCGGCUAACUCCGUG